rnacentral:misc_RNA from 1 species
GAAAUGCGAUAAGUAGUGUGAAUUGCAGAAUUCAGUGAAUCAUCGAAUCUUUGAACGCACAUUGCGCCCUUUGGUAUUCCAAAGGGCAUGCCUGUUCGAGCGUCAUUUGUACCAUCAAGCUUUGCUUGGUGUUGGGCGUCUUGUCUCUAGCUUUGCUGGAGACUCGCCUUAAAGUAAUUGGCAGCCGGCCUACUGGUUUCGGAGCGCAGCACAAGUCGCACUCUCUAUCAGCAAAGGUCUAGCAUCCAUUAAGCCUUUUUUCAACUUUUGACCUCGGAUCAGGUAGGUAUACCCGCUGAACUUAAGC